rnacentral:ncRNA from 1 species
AGAUGGCUUGAUGGCGAUUGAGUAGAUAAGUUAUCAAUUAAAUAAUUCAAUCAAGAUGACUCACUUUAAGCGUGAAAGACCGCUGACAAAAGAGUCCGCACCGCUCUACGAAUUGCUAAAGGGCGAGGGCGAAAGUAGGUAAAGUGACACCACAGGACCUUCAAAACGGGCUAUGCUAAGUAGCCCAUAGCUAAGUCCUAUAUUAAGUAUAGGAUACGCUAAAAACGUGGCGAGAUGGGCUGAUACACACGAUGAGGACACGAACAGAGACCGAAAGGAAAGCAAGUAGGGCGUGCAGACGCUUGUAGAAAGUUCGUAUUAAGAUUGAAAUAUCUUAAUAGUUAGCAAUUC